GACGAACGCUGGCGGCGUGCUUAACACAUGCAAGUCGAACGGAAAGGCCCUGCUUUUGUGGGGUGCUCGAGUGGCGAACGGGUGAGUAACACGUGAGUAACCUGCCCUUGACUUUGGGAUAACUUCAGGAAACUGGGGCUAAUACCGGAUAGGAGCUCCUGCUGCAUGGUGGGGGUUGGAAAGUUUCGGCGGUUGGGGAUGGACUCGCGGCUUAUCAGCUUGUUGGUGGGGUAGUGGCUUACCAAGGCUUUGACGGGUAGCCGGCCUGAGAGGGUGACCAGCCACAUUGGGACUGAGAUACGGCCCAGACUCCUACGGGAGGCAGCAGUGGGGAAUAUUGCACAAUGGGCGGAAGCCUGAUGCAGCAACGCCGCGUGCGGGAUGACGGCCUUCGGGUUGUAAACCGCUUUCGCCUGUGACGAAGCGUGAGUGACGGUAAUGGGUAAAGAAGCACCGGCUAACUACGUGCCAGCAGCCGCGGUGAUACGUAGGGUGCGAGCGUUGUCCGGAUUUAUUGGGCGUAAAGGGCUCGUAGGUGGUUGAUCGCGUCGGAAGUGUAAUCUUGGGGCUUAACCCUGAGCGUGCUUUCGAUACGGGUUGACUUGAGGAAGGUAGGGGAGAAUGGAAUUCCUGGUGGAGCGGUGGAAUGCGCAGAUAUCAGGAGGAACACCAGUGGCGAAGGCGGUUCUCUGGGCCUUUCCUGACGCUGAGGAGCGAAAGCGUGGGGAGCGAACAGGCUUAGAUACCCUGGUAGUCCACGCUGUAAACGGUGGGUACUAGGUGUGGGGUCCAUUCCACGGGUUCCGUGCCGUAGCUAACGCUUUAAGUACCCCGCCUGGGGAGUACGGCCGCAAGGCUAAAACUCAAAGGAAUUGACGGGGCCCCGCACAAGCGGCGGAGCAUGCGGAUUAAUUCGAUGCAACGCGUAGAACCUUACCUGGGUUUGACAUGGAUCGGGAGUGCUCAGAGAUGGGUGUGCCUCUUUUGGGGUCGGUUCACAGGUGGUGCAUGGCUGUCGUCAGCUCGUGUCGUGAGAUGUUGGGUUAAGUCCCGCAACGAGCGCAACCCUUGUUCACUGUUGCCAGCACGUUAUGGUGGGGACUCAGUGGAGACCGCCGGGGUCAACUCGGAGGAAGGUGGGGAUGACGUCAAGUCAUCAUGCCCCUUAUGUCCAGGGCUUCACGCAUGCUACAAUGGCUGGUACAGAGAGUGGCGAGCCUGUGAGGGUGAGCGAAUCUCGGAAAGCCGGUCUCAGUUCGGAUUGAGGUCUGCAACUCGACCUCAUGAAGUCGGAGUCGCUAGUAAUCGCAGAUCAGCAACGCUGCGGUGAAUACGUUCCCGGG
rnacentral:rRNA from 1 species